rnacentral:rRNA from 1 species
UACGUAGGGUGCAAGCGUUAAUCGGAAUUACUGGGCGUAAAGCGUGCGCAGGCGGUUGUGCAAGACAGAUGUGAAAUCCCCGGGCUCAACCUGGGAACUGCAUUUGUGACUGCAAGGCUAGAGUACGGCAGAGGGGGAUGGAAUUCCGCGUGUAGCAGUGAAAUGCGUAGAUAUGCGGAGGAACACCAAUGGCGAAGGCAAUCCCCUGGGCCCGUACUGACGCUCAUGCACGAAAGCGUGGGGAGCAAACAGG